CCUACGGGAGGCAGCAGUGGGGAAUUUUGGACAAUGGACGCAAGUCUGAUCCAGCCAUGCCGCGUGCGGGAAGAAGGCCUUCGGGUUGUAAACCGCUUUUGUCAGGGAAGAAACGGCUCUGGUUAAUACCUGGGGCUAAUGACGGUACCUGAAGAAUAAGCACCGGCUAACUACGUGCCAGCAGCCGCGGUAAUACGUAGGGUGCAAGCGUUAAUCGGAAUUACUGGGCGUAAAGCGUGCGCAGGCGGUUAUGCAAGACAGAUGUGAAAUCCCCGGGCUCAACCUGGGAACUGCAUUUGUGACUGCAUAGCUAGAGUACGGUAGAGGGGGAUGGAAUUCCGCGUGUAGCAGUGAAAUGCGUAGAUAUGCGGAGGAACACCGAUGGCGAAGGCAAUCCCCUGGACCUGUACUGACGCUCAUGCACGAACGACGUGGGAGGACGAACAAGGAGUAGUAUACCGUACGGUAGUACCGACCGACCCGUAACCGAACUAGUACAACUAGGUUGGUUGGGUAGGGUUUCGUUUC
rnacentral:rRNA from 1 species